ensembl:lncRNA
GGUUAGGGUCAGGGUCAGGGUUAGGGUCAGGGUUAGGGUUAAGGUCACAUCAGACAUCACGAUCUGAUGUGCAGCCUUAAAACUGGAACUUACUUUUCAUCAGAUUAUGAAUCAUUGUAGAUUGGCUUGAAUUGAUUAUUGUCAGUAAAUUGUGCGAAAACAAGCGUUUACUCAUCUUGGAGGAGUUCUCAACCGAUGGGUUUGUGUACAGUUGUAUUUAGGUUUGGAUUAACAGCCCCCAACCCAACAUCUCCUCUAACGAGCCCCCUCACCCCCCCCGCCUUUAGCUUGGGCCGCUACCGAUCCCACAGGAAGUGCUGAGGUGAUGAGCACUCAGCCACUUCCUGCGGUGAGCUGGACAACACCUCCCAGGAAUGUGACUCAGACACACGUGCACGCUUCUCAGGCCCACGCCAGGCGGAGGCUUGAAGAGGAGAUGAGUAUUGUGUUGAGUUAAGUAUUGUGUUGAGUUAAGGAUUGUUGUUGGGUUAGGAGCUGAGUAUUGUGUUGAGUUAAGGAGCUGAGUAUUGUUUUGAGUUAAGGAGCUGAGUAAUGUGUUGGGUUAGGAGCUGAGUAUUGUGUUGAGUUGAGUAUUGUGUUGGGUUAGGAGCUGAGUAUUGUGUUGAGUUGAGUAUUGUGUUGGGUUAAGGAGCUGAUGAUUCAUAUGCAACAGGUAAAGGCUUGCUAAUAUACAUGAUGUCUUCGUACGUCUCCGAGGGGCAGGACCCUGUGUGGCUCCAGGGUUCAGGAUGCUUAGCGUCGAAAGCUGAGCCAAUAUUAACCUCGCGCAAACCACAAACUUCUCUGACACAAACCCCAAAACACUUGCGAGAACCCGCAAAUAUUUGAGGAGGAUGGGCGCCACAAAUUCACAGCUUUUUUUGUGAACUCACUUUUGACCCCCAGCUGAGAGGUUGUGGGGUUGAUCCCAGUACCAGUCUCUGUCUCCCCUAACAGCUUCUCAAUGACCAGUAUCUGAAUGCACUCUGGGUCGGAUGUAGCUAAUAAACACGCAACAUGUUACCGGACGUCACGGCUGAGCUCUGGGGUUGGACCUCGUAGUGCAGGGACUAGGAUCUUCAGUAGUGGUUAUAUGAUCAUAACCCUGCUAAUUAGAAACGGUUAUUAGGCAAGGCAAGGCAACUUUAUAUCUGUAGCACUUUUCAUACACAAGGCAGACUCAAAGUGCUUCACAUAUAAACAUUGUCGUACAAUAAAAUAAAAUAAUAGAUAAGUAAAAGAAAACAUGCAAAGAAAUGAGUAAAAUAGAAAGUUAAAAAGGCGUUUUAGUAUUAAAAUAGAAAAUAAAGGCAAAGUUAAAAGAAGCUUUUAAGAAAUUGCAAUGUAUUUAAGAUUUAGCAGAAAGCUAAAGCAAACAUACAAGUCUUCAGUCUUGUUAUAAAGGUGCUCAGAGUUGGGGCAAGUCUUAAAGUCUUCUGCUUUCCCAAGUUUCGUGUUGACUUUGGGGAUAAUUAACAGAUUGGUCUCAGAGGAUCUUAGUGGUCUAGAAGGCUUAUGUAGUGGAAGCAUAUCAGUUAAAUAUUUUGGGCCUAAACCAUGUAGGGAUUUAUAGGUCAGCAACAUGAUUUUAAAAUCAAUUCUCUGACCUACAGGAAGCCAAUGUGAUGAUUUAAAUUUUUUUGGUCUUUGUUAGAACUCUAUCAGCAGCAUUCUGAACAAGCUGAAACUUCCUCAGAGUUUGUUUUUUGAGACCUGUAAGGAGACCAUUGCAGUAAUCAUGCUUACUAGUGAUAAAGGCAUGUACAAGUUUUUGUAAGUCUUCGGUGGACAUAUGCCCCCUAAGUCUUGCUACAUUUUUAAGGUACAUAUGCAGAUUUUGUAACUGAUUUGAUGUGACUGUCGAAAUGUAAAUCUGAAUCCAUGAUAAUCCCUAGAUUUCUUCCUUUGAUUGAGGUUUUCAGGGACAGAGAGUGAAGGUGUUGGGUUACUUUAAGCCUUUCCGUUUUAGAACCAAAUACAAUUAUCUCGGUUUUGUCCUCAUUUAGUUGAAGGACAUUUCGGCACAUACAUUCUUCCACUUGCUCAAUGCACUGGCACAGCAGAUCGGCAGAUGGGCCGAUAGUCAUUUGGUGAUAGCGAUACAUAGAUUUGCGUGUCAUCAGCAUAGCAAUGAUGGUCAAUAUUGUUAUUUUGCAUGAUUUGCCCUAGUGGGAGCAUGUAGAUGUUGAAUAAAGAGGGUCCUAAGAUCGAACCUUGUGGGACUCCACAUGUCACGUUGGUUGAUUCUGAUACAAAGUCGCCAAUGGAAACAAAGUAGUUUCUAUUUUGUAGGUAGGACCUGAACCAAUUUAAGACUGUGCCUGAAAGCCCCACCCAGUUUUCUAACCUGUCUAAAUGUAUUGUAUGGUCUACACAGUGUUGAAUGCAGCAGUUAUUUGACAUUACUAGUGGCUAAAGUUAAACAGAACACAAUAGAUUACAGUAUAGCAGUUCACAGUAGCAUAGGGUAAAGUAAACAGAACACAGUAAAUUACAGUAGGGCAGUAGAAUAAAGUGGAGAAAACAGAAUACGUUACAUUACAGCAGCGUACAGUUGAAUAGGGUAAAGUAAACAGAAUACAUUAGAUUACAGCAGUGUACAGUAGAACAGGGUACAGCAAACAACACAGUAGAUUACAUCAGAGCAAUGUACAGUAGAACAGGGUACAGUAAACAUAAUACAGUAGAUUCAAUUAGAGCAAUGUACGGUAGAACAGGGUACAGCAAACAGAACACAGUAGAUUACAGCAGGGUACAGUAGAACAGGCUACAGCAAACAGAACACAGUAGAUUACAUCAGAGCAAUUUACAGUAGAACAGGGUACAGCAAGCAGAACACAGUAGAUACAGUAGAGGAGAGCUGAGAAGAAGCUGUCCACCAUGAACUGAAGAACUCAACACCUGCUCUCGCUAAGGAUCAGAAGCCAACAGAACGGUAUUCACCAGGAAGUCUGUGUUGAAACAAGCUGUUGGUUUAGGGACAGGAUGUCAGAAUGUACUUCCUGUCGGCUGCGGCCGGGC